rnacentral:miRNA from 1 species
GCGGUGGUCAUGCAGGGC